UCCUGGUUAACCCAGGCAGUCUCGCCAGAGUGCCCAACUUAAUGCUGGCAACAGACGAUAGGGGUUGCGCUCGUUGCGAGACUUAACCCAACAUUUCACAACACGAGCUGACGACAGCCAUGCAGCACCUCUCACUACAUUCCCUUGCGGGCACUUUAGGCAUUACCCCAAAUUCGUAGGAGUUCAAGCCUAGGUAAGGUUCUGCGCGUUGCUUCGAAUUAAACCACAUAAUCCACCGCUUGUGCGGGCCCCCGUCAAUUCCUUUGAGUUUUAGCCUUGCGGCCGUACUUCCCAGGCGGAACACUUAAUGCGUUAGCUGCGUCACCGGGGGAGUCAAUACCCCCAAUAACUAGUGUUCAUCGUUUACGGCGUGGACUAC
rnacentral:misc_RNA from 1 species